rnacentral:lncRNA from 1 species
GUAGCAAAGACUGAAGAUAGCUUAACAGAGGAGGAUUCUCAGCGACUCCAAACUCUUUAACAAAGAAAUAAUGAAGCCCGGGAUAAACAUCGCAUAACAUCUUGCUGGAAAAAUGAUGAGUCAAAUGUCGGUCAAACGGAGGAUAGGUUGAUCUCGUUUGUUCCAUUGAACCGGUGGAAUCAUGCCAAUAUACUUCGAUGGGAGAUAAGAAUGAACCAGAUGCGGCUUCAUGUGUGGAUUUACACGAGUAAGGAACAAAAAUGAAAUCUUGAGAAUGCAAGUUCUCCAUUAUCUUCUGUUUUGAGAGGCUCAUCUCGUUCCAUAUGAAUGUGUAGAACUUGGACAUUUGUGAUAUGCUGCCCUAAAAGGCUUCUCAGAUCUUCUCCAAACUUCUAGAACCAACAAAGCAUCAUCAAGAGUGACAGUUUUCUUC